CCUACGGGAGGCAGCAGUGGGGAAUUUUGGACAAUGGGCGCAAGCCUGAUCCAGCAAUGCCGCGUGAGUGAAGAAGGCCUUCGGGUUGUAAAGCUCUUUUGUCAGGGAAGAAACGGUGGAGGUUAAUACCUUCUGCUAAUGACGGUACCUGAAGAAUAAGCACCGGCUAACUACGUGCCAGCAGCCGCGGUAAUACGUAGGGUGCAAGCGUUAAUCGGAAUUACUGGGCGUAAAGCGUGCGCAGGCGGUUGUGCAAGACAGAUGUGAAAUCCCCGGGCUCAACCUGGGAAUUGCAUUUGUGACUGUACGGCUAGAGUGUGUCAGAGGGGGGUAGAAUUCCACGUGUAGCAGUGAAAUGCGUAGAGAUGUGGAGGAAUACCGAUGGCGAAGGCAGCCCCCUGGGAUAACACUGACGCUCAUGCACGAAAGCGUGGGGAGCAAACAGGAUUAGAUACCCUGGUAGUCCACGCCCUAAACGAUGUCUACUAGUUGUCGGGUCUUUAUUGACUUGGUAACGCAGCUAACGCGUGAAGUAGACCGCCUGGGGAGUACGGUGCAGNUUAAAACUCAAAGGAAUUGAGGCUGAGAGNGCGAGACGACGACGAGGGAGAGG
rnacentral:rRNA from 1 species